rnacentral:rRNA from 1 species
AGAGCGAACGCUGGCGGCAGGCCUAACACAUGCAAGUCGAGCGCCCGUAGCAAUACGGGAGCGGCAGACGGGAUAGUAACACGUGGGAACGCGCCCUUCGGUUCGGAAUAACUCAGGGAAACUUGAGCUAAUACCGGAUACGCCCUUACGGGGAAAGAUUUAUUGCCGAAGGAACGGCCCGCGUCCGAUUAGCUAGUUGGUGAGGUAAUGGCUCACCAAGGCGACGAUCGGUAGCUGGUCUGAGAGGAUGACCAGCAUCACUGGGACUGAGACACGGCCCAGACUCCUACGGGAGGCAGCAGUGGGGAAUAUUGGACAAUGGGCGCAAGCCUGAUCCAGCCAUGCCGCGUGGAUGAUGAAGGCCUUAGGGUUGUAAAGUCCCUUUAACGGGGAAGAUAAUGACGGUACCCGUAGAAUAAGCCCCGGCUAACUUCGUGCCAGCAGCCGC